rnacentral:misc_RNA from 1 species
AAAAGUCGUAACAAGGUCUCCGUUGGUGAACCAGCGGAGGGAUCAUUACCGAGUUAUACAACUCCCAAACCCCUGUGAACUUACCUAUAACGUUGCUUCGGCGGGAAACCGACGGCCCCGUAAGACGGGCCGCCCCCGCCAGAGGACCCCCUAACUCUUGUUAUAUCCUGUUUCUCUGAGUACAACAAGCAAAUAAAUUAAAACUUUCAACAACGGAUCUCUUGGCUCUGG